UUACUAAGGAUCCGUUCGUAUAGAUUGC
rnacentral:sRNA from 1 species